CCUACGGGAGGCAGCAGUGGGGAAUUUUGGACAAUGGGCGAAAGCCUGAUCCAGCAAUGCCGCGUGCAGGAUGAAGGCCUUCGGGUUGUAAACUGCUUUUGUACGGAACGAAAAAGCUUCUCCUAAUACGAGAGGCCCAUGACGGUACCGUAAGAAUAAGCACCGGCUAACUACGUGCCAGCAGCCGCGGUAAU
rnacentral:rRNA from 6 species